rnacentral:rRNA from 1 species
GACGAACGCUGGCGGCGUGCUUAACACAUGCAAGUCGAACGGAAAGGCCCUGCUUUUGUGGGGUGCUCGAGUGGCGAACGGGUGAGUAACACGUGAGUAACCUGCCCUUGACUUUGGGAUAACUUCAGGAAACUGGGGCUAAUACCGGAUAGGAGCUCCUGCUGCAUGGUGGGGGUUGGAAAGUUUCGGCGGUUGGGGAUGGACUCGCGGCUUAUCAGCUUGUUGGUGGGGUAGUGGCUUACCAAGGCUUUGACGGGUAGCCGGCCUGAGAGGGUGACCGGCCACAUUGGGACUGAGAGACGGACCAGACGGCUACGGGAGGCAGCAGUGGGGAAUAUUGCGCAAUGGGCGGAAGCCUGAUGCAGCGACGCCGCGUGCGGGAUGACGGCCUUCGGGUGGUAAACCGAUUUCGACUGUGACGAAGCGUGAGUGACGGUAAUGGGUAAAGAAGCAACGGCUAACUACGUG